CCGGGCCGCGGCAGGGAGGACCCGUCCAAGCGCUCCGCUCAGAAAGUCCCUCCGCUCGGAGCCAAGUGCUAUUGGAAGCCUCCCGCUCGACAGGUCCGAGGGCGGAGGACGUGAGCAGCUCCAUCGUCCUCACAGCGGAUCCUCGAAGAGGUCCGCGUGGGGGUCGUGCAGUGAUGUAAGGAGGCGGAAAAUAAGCAGGUACUGUAGAGCUCAGCGAUGGACACGAGGCCCAGAGUGCACGGCUUCACUGCGACAUAAGAUCCACCAGAGCCUUUUAAAGCAGCCCCUGUGGUGGACUCUGCUGUUCCACCCCGCCCGGGGUCCUUCGGCCAAGUCUCGCGGCUGGCGAGCGGCCAGUUUGUGCUACGUCAGUUCGGAUCAAGUCAACGAUGGCAGAAUUAAGCCCCGACAGACAACGAGACUAUUCUCAGCCUUUUCGUGCUCACCCCAGCUCCUCGGCUGAAACCUCAUCCCGCUUGCUGACAUUUCGUAACUUUCGUCGCACCUCAGGAGAGCAGCCGCACUUUAAACCCAAUUACUAUUGUUUCCCAGAAAUUCCACAGCCCCCGUGAAGCCAUCAGACCUCAUUAAAGCCAGGUCACCUACGAACAGGCCGCGAGGAGCUGACUACUGCAGUUUCACAUGGAUGUCAAGACACGAAAAAAAAAAAAAGGUUGAAGACGUUUGCAAAUAUCUCAGAUGGGUGAAAGGGUAAAGUCCAGUUCAUAACAUGCAGUGAGCAGCACUAGCACUAAAUGAGAUUCUAUUACCUACAUCUAGAUUUCUGCAUUCUUUUAUUUUUACCCUGAAAGAUCUGAUUUACACAAAGAGUGUAGAGCUGAGUGCUUCAGUCUGCUCUCUGCCUGUAAUGAGGCUCGGUCUACGUCCUGGAACUCAUUGACCUUGUGUUUCCUCACACACUGAAGGAGAAAUGAUCUCAAGUGUCCAUGAGUCUAACAACCUCCCCACGCUACAGCCUCCAGUCUAAUCUGAAUAAAGAAUCAGCAAUCAAUGUUUUUACAGUGGAAAGUAAAUGAAUGCUUGAUUCAUACCCUGGUC